AUAUAUACUGGACGGGGGCUAUGGGUGAUCAUGAAGACCUGUGCUCUGGACAACGGCUCGCAGCACUUGGUGAGAGUGUUGGUCUACCAUCUCCCCAAUGGGAGAGAGGACGUCACAAAUUUUGGUAGAGGGGGUCCGGCAAUGGGGCCACUGCCAA